rnacentral:rRNA from 1 species
UUUGAUGGCGACCGGCGCACGGGUGAGUAACACGUAUCCAACCUGCCGAUGACUCGGGGAUAGCCUUUCGAAAGAAAGAUUAAUACCCGAUGGCAUAGUUCUCCGCAUGGUGGAACUAUUAAAGAAUUUCGGUCAUCGAUGGGGAUGCGUUCCAUUAGGUUGUUGGCGGGGUAACGGCCCACCAAGCCUUCGAUGGAUAGGGGUUCUGAGAGGAAGGUCCCCCACAUUGGAACUGAGACACGGUCCAAACUCCUACGGGAGGCAGCAUG